GAGGAAGGUGGGGAKGACGUCAAAUCAUCAUGCCCCUUAUGACCUGGGCUACACACGUGCUCCAAUGGAUGGUACAACGAGCAGCAAGACCGCGAGGUCAAGCGAAUCUCUUAAAGCCAUUCUCAGUUCGGAUUGCAGGCUGCAACUCGCCUGCAUGAAGCCGGAAUCGCUAGUAAUCGCGGAUCAGCACGCCGCGGUGAAUACGUUCCCGGGUCUUGUACACACCGCCCGUCACACCACGAGAGUUUGUAACACCCGAAGUCGGUGAGGUAACCUUUUUGGAGCCAGCCGCCUAAGGUGGGACAGAUGAUUGGGGUGAAGUCGUAACAAGGUAACC
rnacentral:rRNA from 1 species